rfam:Pseudomonas sp. G5(2012) strain G5 PG5_95, whole genome shotgun sequence.
GUAACGGUCACCGCAAGGUUUCUGGUGAUCACGCCAGACAGACUUCCGCGGUUCGCUCGACGAACCGCACCCGGCACCGCCGGACUUUGUUAAACCCGCCGGGACUACACCGGC